GCCUGGCUGACUCAGUCAGUAGAGCAUGAGACUCUAGAUCUCAGGGUUGUGAGUUUGAGCCCCAUGUUGAGUG
rnacentral:tRNA from 1 species